rnacentral:rRNA from 1 species
AACGAACGCUGGCGGCAUGCCUAACACAUGCAAGUCGAACGAAGCCUUCGGGCUUAGUGGCGCACGGGUGCGUAACGCGUGGGAAUCUGCCCUUGGGUUCGGAAUAACAGUUAGAAAUGACUGCUAAUACCGAAUGAUGUCUUCGGACCAAAGAUUUAUCGCCCAAGGAUGAGCCCGCGUCGGAUUAGCUAGUUGGUGAGGUAAAGGCUCACCAAGGCGACGAUCCGUAGCUGGUCUGAGAGGAUGAUCAGCCACACUGGGACUGAGACACGGCCCAGACUCCUACGGGAGGCAGCAGUGGGGAAUAUUGGACAAUGGGCGAAGCCUGAUCCAGCAAUGCCGCGUGAGUGAUGAAGGCCUUAGGGUUGUAAAGCUCUUUACCCGGGAUGAUAAUGACAGUACCGGAGAAUAAGCCCCGGACUAACU